rnacentral:rRNA from 1 species
GUCUACGGCCAUGCUACCCUAAACAAGCCUGAUCCUGUCUGAUCUCGGAAGCUAGGCAGGGUCGGGCCUGGUUAGUACUUGGGUGGGAGACCACCUAGGAAAAUCAGGUGCUGUAGGCA